GGUUUAGGUCAGAGAUUGAUUUAUUUUAGUACGAAAUUAUUAGUUUUAUAUGUGGCUAUACAUAUAUAAGUUCAUUAUUUACAGUCUAUUUGAAUAUCCGAAGAUAAGGUCUAUACGUGGGAUGCACUUUCUUUUGAGGAUUAAUAUGGAUCAUUCUAUCGGUUUGGAAUACCUCUUGAUUAAUAAAAAAAUAUUUAAUUAUUUUUCUUUUCUUAAAAAAAAUUAUUUUCUUCUGAACCGAACAGUCAAUGACAAUUAUUUUAAAUUCAAUUUCAUUUUUACUUGUUUUAUAUAACUCACUUAAUUAAACUGUUAUUAUUGAAAAAAUUAAUUUACAGAGUUAAAUUAAGAUCAACCAACUCGAUCGCUAGAGUCAAUUGUGUUGCAGGAUUUUUUAAGUCAAAAGUCUCU
rnacentral:lncRNA from 1 species